rnacentral:rRNA from 1 species
GACGAACGCUGGCGGCGUGCUUAACACAUGCAAGUCGAACGGAAAGGCCCAGCUUGCUGGGUGCUCGAGUGGCGAACGGGUGAGUAACACGUGGGUGAUCCGCCCCUAACUUCGGGAUAAGCUUGGGAAACUGGGUCUAAUACCGGAUAGGACAUUCGUUCAGCGUCGGUAGUGGAAAGUUGUUUCGGUUAGGGAUGAGCCCGGGGCCAAUCAGCUUGUUGGUGGGGUAAUGGCCUACCAAGGCGUCGACGGGUAGCCGACCUGGGAGGGUGGACGGCCACAUUGGGCCUGAGAGAGGGCGCAGUCGCCUACAGGAGGCAGCAGUGGCGAAUAUUGCCCAGUGGGCGCGAGCCUGAGACAGAGGCGCCGCGUGGGGGAUGACGGCCUUCGGGUUAUAAAACUCUUUCGACUGAGACGAAGCUUUGGUGACGGUACCUGUAUAAGAAGCACCGGCUAACUACGUG